GCACUGGUGGUUUAGUGGUAAAAUCCAUCGUUGCGUUCGAUGGGCCCCGCGUUCGAUUCGCGGUCAGUGCA
rnacentral:tRNA from 1 species